CCGCGUGGAUGAUGAAGGCUUCGGGUCGUAAAAUCCUGUCAGAUGGAAAGAAGUGUAUAGAUGUUAAUAGCAUUUAUAUUUGACGGUACCAUCAAAGGAAGCACCGGCUAACUCCGUGCCAGCAGCCGCGGUAAUACGGAGGGUGCAAGCGUUGUUCGGAAUUACUGGGCGUAAAGCGCGCGUAGGCGGUUUUAUAAGUCAGAUGUGAAAGUCCACGGCUCAACCGUGGAAGUGCAUUUGAAACUGUAUUACUUGAGUACUGGAGGGGGUGGUGGAAUUCCCGGUGUAGAGGUGAAAUUCGUAGAUAUCGGGAGGAAUACCGGUGGCGAAGGCGACCACCUGGCCAGAUACUGACGCUGAGGUGCGAAAGCGUGGGGAGCAAACAGGAUUAGAUACCUGGUAUCCACGCCGUAAACGAUGUCACUAGGUGUUGGGGCGGUUAAUCGUCUCAUUGCCGGAC
rnacentral:rRNA from 1 species